CUUAUAACUCCGCCUGUAGCUCUUAUAGGGUUGCUGCCGGUCCCAAGCCCGGGUAAAGGAGGAGGGUUGG
rnacentral:ribozyme from 1 species